UGCUGCGACAUGCCCGGUCGAAUGUUUGCUGUGUUGAGCGCAUAGAAAAAAGUGUUGAGCGAGGUCGGGAGAAUAUGAAUAACAUGUCGCUGUUACUGUCUUCAGGCCACUGCAUGCCCGUCGUGGGUUUGGGAACUUGGCAGGCAAGUGCCGAGGUAAUCGAGACCAUAGUGUUGGAAGCCCUGCAGGCAGGCUACCGUCACAUCGACACUGCCUUCAACUACGGCAACGAGGCAGCCAUUGGAGCAGCGGUGCGCAGGUGGAUAUCAGCGGGUGGGCGCAGAGAGGACCUGUUCAUCACCACCAAGCUGCCCCACCUGGCCAACAGGUGUAGUGAUGUGGCACGCUACUUAGGCAUCUCGCUGCAAAGACUACAGCUGGACUAUGUGGAUCUGUACCUUGUGCACAUGCCCUUCGGCUUCAUGCCUGACCCUUGUGGCGAAGAACCUCUUGCACGCCCCGAUGGCAGCUACGUGUUGGAUUUGGACACGGACAUCAUUGCUGUCUGGAAGGCGAUGGAGCAGCAGGUGGACACCGGUAAGGCACGCUCCAUAGGUGUCUCCAACUAUAAUGUGUGUCAACUAACGAGGAUCCUGGAUGCUGCGCGCAUCCCUCCUGCUACCAACCAGGUAGAGCUGCAUGCCUACCUGCAGCAGCCCGAGUUGCGCCAGUUCUGCUCUCAGCACGGCGUGGUCGUGACCGCGUUCUGCCCGCUGGGGUCACCUGGCACCCGAGACCACUUCCGUCGCAAGUACAACUACAGACACGAGGCAUUUCCGGACAUCCUGGGGCGCCAGGAGGUGUCGUGCAUCGCUGAUAAACUUGGCAAGACACCUGCUCAGGUGCUGCUGCGUCACCUCAUCCAGUUGGGCGUGGCCAUCAUCCCCAAGAGCACCAACCCUGAGCGACUGCGAGCUAACCUGCAGGUGUUUGACUUCGAGCUGAGCGACAACGAGAUGAGCGUGCUCAACGCGCUGGACCACGGUGAGGCAGGCCGGAUCAUCCACUUCAGGUUCUGGAAGGGGUGAGCUCUCUGCAUUGGUGGACACUGCUCUAUUACUGCAGCCAUAAGCAGUAGUCUCUACUUCCUGGUUCCUCGUCCCUAUUGGGGUCACUGGAUACUACGAGGCGUAAUGAGAUGGCAUAACCCCGCUCAUUUGUUGAGGCUGGCAAGUCACCAGCCAGGAUCACUACACCACUCAACACUUUAAUGUACAUUGCUACCUUACAACAUAGUUUAGACAAAUCAGUAACACCAGCACUAUGAAUAUGGAGCAAAACAAAGGGUAGCAGAGUCCUAUGUUAUCAGCCGGAUGGUAGCAUCUCUAGAAAACUCGUGCCAAUGUUAGUCAUUGCUGUAGAAGCUCUCCAAUUUUCAAUGCAUUUGGUAUGUACAUAAUAUAGUAUUCUUAAUCAGCACGAGACAGUGUGGAUAUCAUCAAGUACAGACUGCUUAACAUCUGUCCACAUUAUAGGCAGUUUAUUCAUACACUUGUCAUCCUGACAUUCUCUGCUAUGAUGUUGGAGUGUCGGAUGACUGCUAAGGGCGCCAACUAGGCUAAUUGAAGAGCCCUGCAGGUCAGUUCACAGGUAGAGCUAGGACUCAACUAAGAGUGCGAUGUCAUCACUAUUGAGGGCUGAUCGCGCAUUGCCGGUGAUUUCGAGAUGUUAACUAUGGGCGCCACCACGUGGAAGGGCACGUGGACCCGGCGGAGUCUCUCACUCAGGGCGUGACGUAGCCCAAGUGGGGACGAGUUACCAGCCCUUUCUAUCCUAGCUACCCAGACCUGGCCCGCUCUAGGCGUCGGGCACGCCACACUCCUAGACUCACUCACCACGUGAUUAAAUAAGUACUCACUUUAUAUUUAUUCUCCAGAUUUAAUUUCACUAACACGUCUCUCUACACGCCCGUUACACGUUACACAUUACACGGUUAAAAAGCCUGAGGCACGAAUCGGUUUAGGUGAGGGCAUGGUCCACACACGUGGCCAUACUGCAAAGUAUACUUAUUACACGGUGAUGAAAAACUCGACUGAGACAAUUAAUUAAUUAAACAGCCCGCUGGCCGAGAGCUGCCCCGAGGAUGACGAACGAAAGCGAUUUAAAAAGAAUUAACGAUACAGAAAUUACUUGGUCAGUGAUGAACAAAGGUUGAGGUCCCCGGGGUGCUGGCGCGUCUGCUCUCGGUCAGUGAUGAAGAUGGACUGGGCUGAGCUCAUCGCUCGCAGGUGGCAACAUGGCGCCCUUCGCGCCAACACAAUUACCGUUACUGUAUUCUACGACUCCGUGCCCCGGCGAAAGUUGAGUAAAUUACAGAUAAACAUUAAAAAUAUAUAAAAAUUACUGACAAUGGAAAGUUUGUUACUAUUUACUUAUUUAAUGAUAAUUCAUAUAAAAGCAUUCCUAUCCUCGUCCAAGUCCGUGCCUGUUCGGGUCCGCCCGGGCAACGUCUAUAGUUAUUUAAGGUAACUUAUUUAAAUUAAAGAAACACAAGUAAACUACACAGCACUGGGGCGAAGAUGGAUGAAAACAACAAAAAGGCUUACAAUUAAUAUUAACAUAGCAAUUUUAGGGAUCGCCGCACUGCUUCUAAGCGCCCUCUUGCCGGGCUAGACACACACGCACACACGCACGCACGAGCGGGAGGUUUGAAUAUAGAUGGUGGUUGGGCGGUGUCGUAUCGGGCUCAAAGGGGCCGCAGGC